rnacentral:rRNA from 1 species
CACUCCUGCGGGAGGCAGAAGUGGGGAAUUUUGGACAAUGGGCGAAAGCCUGAUCCAGCAAUGCCGCGUGUGUGAAGAAGGCCUUCGGGUUGUAAAGCACUUUUGUCCGGAAAGAAAUCCUUGGCUCUAAUACAGUCGAGGGAUGACGGUACCGGAAGAAUAAGCACCGGCUAACUACGUGCCAGCAGCCGCGGUAAUGCGUAGGGUGCGAGCGUUAAUCGGAAUUACUGGGCGUAAAGCGUGCGCAGGCGGUUUGCUAAGACCGAUGUGAAAUCCCCGGGCUCAACCUGGGAACUGCAUUGGUGACUGGCAGUCUAGAGUAUGGGAGAGGGGGGUAGAAUUCCACGUGUAGCAGUGAAAUGCGUAGAGAUGUGGAGGAAGACCGAUGGCGAAGGCAGCCCCCUGUGCCAAUACUGACGCUCAUGCACGAAAGCGUGGGGAGCAAACAGGAUUAGAAACCCUUGUAGUCCCAUG